UAAUGAUAUAUAUGGAGUCUAGUUAUGUUUUUGUUCUGUUUGGAAGUUGUUUUGCAAAGUGUAAUUACUGGGCUAUGAAUAAUUUUUGAUUAAGUUUCAAGGAAAAAUACAAUGAAAGGUUGAAACUAGGGCUUCUCUCCUGUGGAUUUUUCGGAGGAAAUCUCGCUUUUAAAUAUUUUUAAAUAUAAGUUUCAUUUAAUUUGUACAGCUCUUGACGAUGAUGGCUGUGCCCAUGGCGUACCCUACUGUUAUAAUGACAGUUUUAAGAACACCAAAAUUUGGAUUGGAGGUGCGGCAGAUAUUGUUCUCUAAAACGCCCCAAACUGCAAAGUCCAGGGGGUGGAGGUCAGGACUGGAUGAGGCCACAUGGAGGCAGGUCAAAAGUCAGCGAUAUUGUUGGUGCUUCUUGGCUGCAUGGGCCUGUAAUGGAUAUUCGAUACUGUAGGCAGUCCACUUUGGAAAUACCAACCGUCUCUGCAACCUUUUCGGUAUUACAAUGACGUGGAGGAGAUUUUAUAUAAGUUGCCCUUUUUGUUUUUUCUCUGAUAUUUUUACA
rnacentral:lncRNA from 1 species